rnacentral:rRNA from 1 species
GACGGAGGGUGCUAGCGUUGUUCGGAAUGACUGGGCGUAAAGGGCGCGUAGGCGGCCGCUUGCGUCGGAUGUGAAAGCCCGGGGCUCAACCCCGGAACGGCAUCCGAUACGGGGCGGCUCGAGACCGAGAGAGGUGAGUGGAAUACCCAGUGUAGAGGUGAAAUGCGUAGAUAUCUGGAGGAACACCGGUGGCGAAGGCGGCAUCCUGGACCGGCAUUGACGCUGAGGCGCGAAAGCCAGGGGAGCAAACGGG